rnacentral:lncRNA from 1 species
UUUUAGAUAGUUAUCUGUGUAGUGUGACAAGUUGGGGAAAGGGACAAAUUGGUUUAAAAACUGAUGCUGCGUUACAUCUCCAGCUGUGACUCUAACGCUAAUCUCACACUUUAUUACUGAAAAGAGAAGGGAAGUAAUAGGGUUCACAAAAGGCUGCCACACAGGAUGCCGAUGGCCAUAGAAUCACCACCAAUAGGUGUCUGCCCUAACACUGCCCCUACAGCAGGUAGCAGGGGGAUUAAUGGGAUAAUGUAUGUAGAGGGCUUUGAUUCUUUAGAGGAAGUGGCUGUACAAACCCAAAGCUUUAUAUUAUUGUUAUGACUUUUCCUCUAACCUAUGAUUUUAACACAUUAUGCAGGCUUGUCAAUUAUCCACCUGUGCCCUGUUCAUGCCACCACGAUUUUAUUUCUCAUUUUUAAGGUUUAUGAUUCUAAUUGAGAGACAUUGAUGUUUCCAUAUUCAACCUGGCAGAUUAAUACCCAGCAAGAAAGACCUGCUGUCAAUGGGCAUUUUGAAUUAUGUGUUUAAAAUUGCCUUUGAUGGCAAGAAUGUCAAAUUAUGCUCUUCACUGAAAUGGUUUUGUGCUUCUUUGCUAGGUAUGUGAUUGAAAAUCACAGAUGUUUGAUAUCACCUUUUACUGCAUUUGUUUGAACUGGAUGACAGCUAAAGGCUUCUGUUUCUGGAUUUUCAUUUUAACUCACUCAUAUACACAACGACAGACAAUGAAUAAUAAACAUAAAGAAUUGUUAGCUGGGGAAAAAGCUGAACAUUCUUUAUGGAUUUUCAAAAAGUAUUUUCCCAAGCCUGCCAGAUCAACUCUAAAUGGAAUUUGUGGAAAAAAAUCAAAGCUGGAUAUGAAUCACUGUAUCAAUCCAUCAGACAUUUCAUAAGGAGGCAGUAGGCAUCAAGAAAAAAAAAAUAACCAAGGCAAGUGGUAGGCCUCUCUUGCCUUUUAAAAUGAAUACAAUAAAAGUUAUUUAUUUGCAAGAAUAACA